ACUACUGGAACAUGGUCCGAAGCUGAAGCCAAAGGACCAUUGGCCCAUCCACCUCCCUGAAGCCCGCCUGAUGAUGCUGGACUCCCCCCAGCCCUGGCCAACAUGGCCAACGGACAGGGAUGACGGGAGCUGGAGUCCUGCCGCAUCCGCAGAACCAAAGCUUCUCCAUCCCUGGUCCAGCAACCCCUAGGCAGGAGUCUCUUCGGACCCUGCCUGGAAAUGCCGGGGACUGAACCUGAGACCUUCUGCGUGCAAAGCCGAUGCUCUCCCCACGGAGCUACGACUCUUCGCACCUGUGCUGCGAUCCUUGUGGGUUGUAAGGAACCACAUAGAUCAGAAACUGGGCCCCCAAUAGCCACGAUUCCUACUGUGGAACAAGGCUAUGGGUGUCAACUUCUAGCAGGGCUCCUGCGCUUUGGGAGCACCCUGAAAGCAGAAACGAAGCCGGUGAAUGCCAGGCUUAGUUUGCUACAUUUCUUCACGCCAGGCUGCUGUUAAAAGGGCAGGAUCAGGGAGAAAGAAAGAAAGAAAGAAAGCCAAAUGAUCGAGGGCUGACAAAAGAGUGGAUUCCCCCUCCUCUUAUAAUGCAUUAUUAUCUAUAUGGCAAUGCUAAUGCAUUCAAAUGCACGCGCGCACACAAGUAGUGAAUAGAUGAUAGAUGAUAGAUAGAUAGAUAGAUGUAGGUAGGUAUUAGUGGUUUUAAAGACAUUUAACAGGGGAUGGGGGAGGGAGUUGCUAGCGGUUAAUUAAUCUGGAAUAAAAGAGUGUAACUAUCUUUCCACCACAUAUAAAAUACUUCAUCUUGGGGACUUGGGAUUCAUUAGUCCGAAUAACUACCAUCUGCUCGUUUUCUGUUCACAAUAGAAGAAUGCCUGGGCGUAUUGUGUGGGGUGGAGAUCCACUCCAUAAGGAUCUCUUGAUCGGAGGUACAAUGCAAUGGAUACAGUGGGGUGGCGCUGAGUGUGCCCUAAAGAGAAUAGCCCUUAGGCAAGGCUAGCAGCGCAGUGUACAAACAACUCCGCAGGCGUUUCCGGGGGGGUCAGGUCAGCCCUGCCGGUUCCUCUCUCUGCCCACCCCCACCUCCGAGCCAUUCCUAUAUACUGUAUAGGAAGGGAACGUAGAGAGGAAGCAUUUUGGACUUUCUUCCUGCGUUUAAUUCAAGGUUCAAAGAAACUUCAUGCAAACUGAGGCCAGUCGAGAUUAUAUAUAUCCCUCCCGCACCCGAAGCCUUUUCAGUGCUUCCCAACAGGCAGUCGCUCAACAGGUGCAGCUUUCUGGCCAACCCCUCCCAGCUUUACUUCUUGAACUUCUGCCUGCCGAUUAGCUCUUAAAGGCACAAGAGCCGUGAGAAACGCAGGAGAGGGGAGUAUCUGAUGACCAUUCACCACUCUCCUCUCCCCCCCACCCCCCGCCACAAAUAUGCUUCGAGAUAAUAAUAAUAAUCCCGGGGCGCGGGGGAAGGCAGCAGCGAUGAGCAAACCGAGGGGCUGAGAACGGGAAAACAACGUGUUUUUUGCUGCUUAACAGGGAACAGAUGGCGCGAAAGGGCUGCAUCUCCUCCUGCGGGGGCCGGGAUUAGGGGGGGGGCGAUGGAUGGAUGGAAGUGGGGGCCCAGCAGAGACAAGCACCAGGAAGGAUUAAACCCCUCAUCUCCCGAUGGAGAGAUAGCAGGAAGGGCGGGUUCUCUUUCAGGCCCCGCCCCCGCCCUCCUCUCGCCCCGCCCCUUUCAUUCAUGGAGGGAGCGGGCCAGGAGGAAGCCGGAGAAUCCCCUGGAGCUUCGGCUUUCUCUAUCUUCGUAUUACAGUACAAGCAGGUCCCAAAAAAGGCUGGAGAGUGCGCGCGCGAAGCGCUCAUCAGCCCCUCUUUCCAUCCAGGGGAGGGGCGCGAAGCCCUCGGGACGCGCGUCUCCGGGGCGCAUGCAGAGUACAUUUCGAUCCGCGGCACUAAACCGCCGCCCAUUCGGGAACACGGACUUCCCGAGCGCGGGGGCGUCGGUUCCAGGAAGGCGAGGAAAGGCGGGCCGCUCCCUCUUUCCUUUAAAACAGCAAGAGCAGCAGCGAGGAGUCCUGCCCUGAGCAGAACAGCACACGCCGAUCCUGGCUGGCCCGGCGCCUUCUUCCUCGUCAGGAAGACCCCCUUCGUCGCCUGCCGCGUGGUGCCAGGAUCGCCACGCACAGCAAACCCCACCCCGUCUCUCUGGGCAGAGGUGCCAACUUGAAUAAAAUGGCGGGGGGGGAGAGAAUCGAUCACAUGGCACGCACACUAUUUGAAUGGCAGGGCCCAUCAACUUGAGAGGGCCCAAAGGGACAUUGGCUCCUGUGCCUCUGGGUGUCUCGCUUUCUUGGCGCAGAGCAUCCGGUGGUCAGGUUUUCAAGGCCAUAAAGUCUUGAAAGCAAAGGCUGCAGCGUUGGAGGCCCAUGCAUAGUCCCAUUGCUAAGACUAUGGAACAUGGCCCUGAUGAUGAUGGGCGUGCAUUGUUUCUUUCAAAAAUCCGAGUUGUUCCACCCCGUCCUUUCUCCAAAAAAUGCAAGAAUGGCACACAGUGUUUUCCCCUCCCUUCUUCUCCCCUUUGAACCUCACACCAACCCUGCAAGGUAGGGCCAGGCUGAGAGACAGUGACUGGUCCAAGGUCACCCAGUGAGGAUUUUCACCCUCAUUGCCCCGCUUUUGUUCUGACGGUCUCUAACCACUAUUAGGCAUUACAGGAGGAGCUUCGGAGACAGAAUCGCUUGAGAUGUCAACAAGCCCCACACCUUUAGUGGAAAACAGCUUUUUUUAUAAUAAUGAAACACCAAAAUGAAGUUUUAAAAAGGAAAUCUAUUUUUGUUGUUAUUACACUGGCAAAAUGCCCUUCAUGAUGACAUGACAGGUGCCGUGUGUGGAAAGAGAGAUGGUAGUUUGAAUUCAGUAGGACUUGAGUUGGCAUGGCUAGAAUAAUUGUGCUGUAAGCUAAACCGCAGCCCCUCUUGGUCACAAUGCAGUGUGACAGGUAUGAGGGGACUGGGCUUUCAUAUUGCUUUAGAAACACUUGUAACUCAUUCUCAAACAAAUAUCUGCAUGAGAAGUUUGAAAUUUUGAGGAGCAAAAUAAUCUUCUCCUUGACCUCCUCCUAAACCUCAUUUCCAGUUCCAAAGAAAACAAUGAACAUUCAUUUUGAAGUAAAGGAAAACAUUUCAGUGUAUCACACUUACAGGAGACAAAAGUAAUAGUGCAGUAUGAAAAUUGUUCUUCAGACAAUCUGUCUGAAAUGAGGGGUAAGGAGCUCCAGGCCAUUAAAAUUUCAAAAUAGAUUAGGUUUGCAAAAAAUAAAACAGAAAGGAGACCAUAAGUAGCAGAAGAAAAAGGUGGCUGUGAACAGACAAAUGCUUCGGUUUCCAAUACUGUGACAAAAUGUUAAUUGCAUUUUCCAAAAUGUCCUAUGAGCAAGAAAAUCACAGGGGAUGUUGCCUAGAGACAGAAUAUUUAAAAAAACGAUCGUUCUGGAAAUCUGGGUGCCCUAACAUUGCUCUCUUGAAUGACUCCAACCAAGGAUCACCUUUCUCCUCCCUGCACCUCUGUUUUCCUAUCUGCAUAAUUGAGAUAAUGGGUACAAUCCCAAAUCAUUAAAAGUAAUGAUGCCAUGGCCUUCAAAUCCAAGGAAGUGAGGGCUAAACCAUUU
rnacentral:lncRNA from 1 species